AUUGUCAAGAACACACUUAUAAACAGUACCAUAUCUUCCACUUCCUAGCAAGUUUGAUUCUGAAAACCCAUCGGUUCCUUUGGAUAAUGCAAGGUAUGGAAUUCGUUCAAAUUUCUCACCAGCAAUUGGAGAUUGUGCUCUUUCUUUCUGCUUUUGUUUGAGCUUUUUGCGGAGCAUCCAAACAAGAAGAAUAAUUGAAACUGACAAUGAGACAGUUACAGUUGUUGUCAGAGAAAUUAUAAGGGACUUAAACUUCUUUUUUCUGCCCUUUCUUGUAGGUCUUGUGGAGCAAGGUGCCAAGUGAAGUUGAGGUGCUCCACUGCACAACUCAGUAUUCCCAGCGACUGAUUUGUAAGAUAGGUUUCUGAAUGCACCUCCAUCUGGCACCUUGCCUUGCAGGUUAUUGAAAGAUAUAUCCAAUAUAGACAGUGAUGUCAAAUUCUGUAGAAUUUCUGGGAUUGGCCCUGACAAGUUGUUGUGUGCUAGGUACAGCUGUUGCAGAGCUCCAAUGUUACCGAUGGCAUCAGGGAUCCCACCAGACAAAUUGUUCAUGGUCAGAUUCAAUACAAUAAGUCCUUUAAUGUUUCUCAGAGAUUGAGGUAUGCUUCCUUCAAACGAGUUCUUAUCCAGUAACAGUUUUUCAAAAACGAUGCAAUUUCCGAUGCUGUGAGGUAUUUGGCCAGACAACUGGUUACCUGACAGGAUCAAUUGG
rnacentral:lncRNA from 1 species